AAUACUGCGCUGUGAUUGGCCAGCCGUGUGUUCGGGUCGCGGCUUAGCAAAGGGUCAAUUACAACAUGGUUUUACCCGAUUUAGCUGCAGGGACAAAUCGCUCUACACAAACAGAAACAUGCUAGAACUGUUUCCGUCCACCGAGCACGUCUGUGCAACCUCACCGAGACGGCAAAGCUCAUGAAAGUGACCACAUGGUAGUUUGUUGAAGCACGUUGUUACGGACCAUAUAUAGUACGUUGUGGCAGAGGGAUGGGUUAAAUAGUUGGUAAAGUAAAAGAGUUUCUGACUUACGUAACGUGAGAUACGUCAAGUGACUUACAUUAACCCAAACCAUGAUGUUAUCCAAAACCUAACCAAGUAGUUUUGUUGCUUAAAUAAAACUGUUGUUAAUGAUCAGUUUUGUCGUUUAGACAUGAGGACACGUUGCACGCCUGCUGUUUUGUGCUAAGCCAACUGUCCUUCUAUUAAAAGUCCAGCUGAAGUCACAUUAGUCCUCCCGAUCCUUGUAACAUCAGCAGUGGAUGAUGAUGAUGAUACUUCAUCAGGAUCGAGACAACCAUAACAACACAGCGAUGACUUGGGCACCAGAAGGGAGAAGGAAUAGAGGACUAAAAAAGCCACGUGGAGAAAGAGGCGUGUUUGAAUUCAUGGGACGAAACGAAUAGACGGAGAGAAUCUGCGGAGGCCUCAUGUGACACAGGGCACGGAGGAGGCAGACAGAAAGGAAACAACAAGAAAGAAACAUGUAAUUUUUGUUUGACAUUCAUUCAAUCAUAAACUCCAAACAUGUUUGACCUCCUGCUCUCUGCAUCCACAAUUCAGACAGCUCCACUGAAAUGGGGCGAGCACUUUGAGAAUCAGCUGGUAGACCCACUCUGGUCACAGAGAGAGGGAGCUGAUGGACAUGGGAGGAAGGGAAACGAUUUUCUAGAAGAAGAAAAAAACAUAAAAAAGCAGCCUUGAAACUGUUGACGCCUGAUGCAACUGUAAAAGAUUUGGGAGGCGUUUCCUGCCUGCCGCUCGGCUGUUUAGCAUUUGUUUUUUUUCCAUCCCGCUCAUUCUGGAUGUUCUCCACGUCGCUGAGCCCAUCGCAGGCAAGCUGUAAUAUCUGGUCGGUAUUCUCAAAGGAUAUCACGGUGCUGGUGUUAAUUUAAGAUAAGCUCUGCCUUUGGAAUCACAAUGAGAACGAAGGGGGCUGUAAAAAAAAUUAAAAAUGAAUAAGAAUAAAGGUGAGGAAUCACAUUUCGGGCUGAUAGCGGCACAGAGCGGAUUGAAAGCUGUCGUGUCCUCAGAGCGCUCGUUGUGUGUAGGUGUGUAUUUUAGUGGUGUGUGUCUGUCUAAAUAUUCAUAUUGUGUGUCGAGUGUUUCAGCUUGUGUCUUGGCAGAUAAAUCGACCUGCGAAAGACGAACAUUUCUCCAGAAAACACUUUUUGUGUAUGAUGCUGUGUUUGCGCCCCAUGGGAAAUCAGUGCAUCGUCCCGUACCACGAGCUGCAUCUUUACACCUGCAACCCACAAGCACGGCGGACUGAGUGCUGGGUUAAAUCCCCCAUCUGUCUCGGUAAUCUGGACCUGGGACUCUGAGCGAGGCCUCCCCUCCUCCAGUUUGCCCUCUGAGGCUUUUCGGCAGCAGACUGCGUUUGUACUCUGCAGCUCCCAGGUGUGAGGAUCCCUCGCUGAGCCGUGGUGGAGGAAUACGUUCCGACACUUUCAUGCAGCUUCUUCUCUGAAAAUGACGCUAUGAGAGUGCUGAGAGGGAACCACAACAGGAAAGUUGCAGCCGGACGGAUAAACAAUGAGCUGAAACUCAC